AACGAACGUUGGCGGCGUGGAUUAGGCAUGCAAGUCGAACGAAUCCCUGUGAUGUAGUAAUACAUUGCAGGGGGAAGUGGCGAAAGGGGCAGUAAUGCAUGGGUAACCUACCUUGGGGAUGGGCAUAGCCGUUCUAACGAACGGGUAAUUCCAGCGAUUUGGCGGAGGGGCAUCCUUCUGCCAGGAAAUGAAUUUCGCCUCGAGAGGGGCCCAUGUCGUAUUAGCUAGUUGGUGGGGUAACGGCCUACCAAGGCAAAGAUGCGUAGCGGGUGUGAGAGCACGACCCGCGCCACUGGCACUGAGACACUGGCCAGACACCUACGGGUGGCUGCAGUCGAGGAUCUUCGUCAAUGGGCGCAAGCCUGAACGAGCGACGCCGCGUGCGCGAUGAAGGCCUUCGGGUUGUAAAGCGCGAAAGUGGGGAGAAAGCCGCAAGGUUGAUCGAUCCACAGUAAGGACGGGCUAAGUUCGUGCCAGCAGCCGCAGUAACAC
rnacentral:rRNA from 1 species